GGUUAGAUCCCCAGAUGGGGCAGUCCCUGGAAGGCCUUUCCUUCAGUUUAUGCUCCACACUUUAUCUCUGUUUAUUUUGUUUCCCCUUCUAAGAAGAACUCUUACUCACAGAACUCCCUCGGAAACCUUUGACCUUUAACUAAGAAAAAGAAAAAAAAAGUAGAGCAAUUUUGACCUAUAAAAAGUUAAAAUAUCUGUAACUACUGCCCUACAGUCAUACAACUUGUGGGCCCAAGAGGACCUUCCACUUUUUUUCACCCAAAGCCUUAUAGAAUUUAUUUCUUUGACACACUUAGAUUUCAAUAAGCUCAGCAGGUAGGGGUCACCCUCUCAAAGGCAGGAGAUGGGGAUGAUAUGAAGAACUCAGAAAGGGUGGCCAGGAACUGGGGCAACUUUUGGAAUGUAAAUAAAUAAAAUAAUUUAAUACAAACAGUCUUUAAACUAUGGAUGAAUUUUUCAUCCUAUUUUAGCUACUUAUAUGUUUAAAAGUAUCCUUGAUAUUUAAUAGCUUUAGAAAUUCCUGAUCAUCACAAAUUAUAAGUCCUAUCAAACAUAGGUCUUAUUGGCCAAGCUUUCUCAAUAGUGUCACUGGAAUGGAGCCAUUGUAUUAAUUGCCAUCUGUUUUUCUCCAUGAGAAGUUGAGCUCAGUGAACUCAAAAUUUCAUGAUCCACAAGCAUUUCAGAAUAUGUUAUAUUUUUAUAAGUUUUCACAGAUGGAAUAAUUAUCUUUAUGCAAUGAAAAGGAGGUCAUAGAAAUUAAAAUUCCUAAUUAGACUCAGUUUGAAGUUCUAUAAGUGCAUACAUGAUAUUUUUCAUCCCUAAAGUCAUAAUUAGUCUUUCUUUGUAAACAUAAUUGUUCUGAGUCACCCUGGGAUCAUUGUCAGUUUAUAUGUGUUUGUGCAAUAGCAUGCAUUGCUUCAAGCAUGAUCAUGUUUAUUUGUCAUUCUAUUUAACCAUGCUUAGCAUAAAGUAAUGACAUUCAACUAUCUUGCACUAUAUUUGGAACAGGCUUUUAUGAAGGUCAUGUGUGUGUGUGUGUGUGUGUGUGUGUGUGUGUGUGUGUGUAUUGCAGAAAAUAAUGAUUCAAAAUUCAAAAUUCAGAAAAUGAGAAUCACUAGAUCUUAACUAUUUAACUGUCAGUAGCUGUGUUUAGGUAGCUGGUUAAAUACAUCAAUAUACAAAUUCAUACCUACUCACACUUUUGUAAAAUGUGUCAGUCAAAAUCCUGAAUGUGAUAGCUGAUCCCAUGAACACAUUUUCUAUGUUCUCUCUCCAUAAGAUAAUCUGUUUGACACUUGAACCUUUCUAGUGUUGUGUAACCUAGAACAUUUUCACCUGACCAGAACUGAGGAUAAUCCAAGCGUCAGUAAAAGUGACAUGAUAUUAUUUAACAUUUCUUGUGUAUAUAUAUGAAUAUAUAUAUAUAUAUAUAUAAAAUAGUGAAAUAGAUUUUAAAAUAUUCAAAUAAUCAUGCAAAAACAUUCUUUGCUUCUAAAGUUUCUGAUGAUUUCAUGCAUGUAUAUAAUGUAUUCUGAUUAUAUUGACCCAAUUACCUUGUCUUUCCAACUAGCCCAUCCCCCCCCCUUCUCUCUGUGUCUAUGUCCAUGUAUAUGAGUGUGUGUGUGUGUGUGUAUUGUGUGUGUGUAUGUUUGUAUGUGUUGUGUUCAUAUAUCAUACAUGGUGGCACAGGUACAAUGUGUUCCUGAUUAAAACAACUUUUCCAUAAUUCAUAUGUGAUUCCCUACAGCAUUAAUGACACAGUUUUCCAUUGAUUCUUUUCUGAAAUCACAUAAAAUAUUCCUAUCAAAACACAGAAAUCUUUUUAUUUCUUAAAUCUUUAUUCUGUCAUCUUACAAAGUAUAUAUGCAGAUUUAAUGGAUAAAUAAUAUUAAUUUUAAGUUUAAAAGUUCACUUGUUUUCUGCUCAGUUUUGACACCAAUUUUAUUUAUAAUUACAAAGGAAUAAAUAUAAAAUAAUAUGGGAAAAAGUAUUUUUCAACAGUUUGUAUAAGCGAGGAAGAAAUGGGAGAUUAAUUUAAGAAAAUUAGUCUUCAUUUUAUGUUAUAUCCAUUGGAUUUUUUCACCAUCAAUAUUGAGCAUGUAUAGUGAAACAAAUGCAGUAUUCAUUCAUGUAUAAUCUUUCCUUGUUGAUUAAGAGUCUGUAUUGUGAAUUCCAAACUAACAAAAAAAUGAUACUACCAGCUCCUGUAUGUCCUAUGACAUUAUACAAACAAUGAAUGGAUGGGCUACAAUAUCAAAAGGGGCAUCAUAACCCCAAUGAAGCUAUUAUGGAUGCAUGUCUUGCUAUAUACUUGACUAGAAUUAAAAAAGAAAAAUAAGGCAUAGAUUGUUCAUUGACGCUGUUGAAUGCAUGUUUUUUGAGCUAGAUUUCAUUUGUGCUCAACUGCAUUCCAGGAUUUUGAGAGACUGCUUUUCUCUCUUAUGCAUAAGAACUCUCUCUGACACAUUCCUUUUUCCAUUAUCCUCCUAUGGUCCUAAGAAUUCCACUUUAAAAUUUGUGUGUGCAGUAUUAUUCUGUGAGACUGCAACAUUUCCCUUGAUUUUUAAGAGAUCACAAAUAGAAUUGAGUUUCUAUGUUUAGUCCAUCAACUUCCACCGGACUCUGCUUUUAUCUUUCUCAAAUUGCCACCAAAUCAGUCAUUCUGACUCCUUUCCUUCCUGAAGACUUUAUUCCCAGUAUGAGAAAGGUAUCCUAAAACGAUAAAAAACAUUGUACCAGGUCUCUUUUGAGAAUAGUCU
rnacentral:lncRNA from 1 species